GGCAGAAGGAUCACCAGUGGCGGGUCAGUGUGGGCAUCUUAACAAAAUUGAGCCUUAAAAGAAAAAAUUAAAAACAUCAGAAAGUGUGUGUGUAUAUAUACAUGGUUCAGUACUAAAGCAUUCCUGGGUUCAAAAUAAAAGGGAGAGAAAGAAGGAAAGAAAAGAGAAAUGAAAUCCGAUGUCUGGAAUAUUAAAGAUAUUCCAGCCCUCACCUCUGCCUCCCCCAAAUUGCAGAUUACAUGAAACAAUACAGACAGAGGUCCUACUACCAACCCUGUCCCACGCAGGUGUCUCCUUGGGGCGGCCCUUCCUGAGCAGCACUCACCGUGGCUUACUGUCUCUUACAGCGCGAACAGGUCAGACCCCCGAGGAAUCAAGUCAGCCGGUAGCGAAUUUGCAUCGCCCCGCCUCUGCACUAACGACUGUCAACGUUGGCCAACAUCCACCGAGAGAGAAGCGUGCGCUGCCAGGCCCCCCGCGCCACUGCACCUGCAGACUCCACUACCCCGGCACAAGACAGCCAGGACCUAGAAGACCAGGGGUUUGCGAGGGCUGCGCCAUUGAGCUUGGGCGGUAGAAUACUGCCCGGCAUUAAGUGGCAUUGGGAACUCUGGACGCAACGGACCUUUAAGGCUGUGGGUGGGAAUCCAGACCACAACUUCUGGUUCAGUGCCCCACUCCCUCUGCUUUUCGGACCGGUGCAGGGGUGUUUAGUUGAGCUUCUGUCCAUUAGCGCCAAGUGUACUGGGCGCUCAGCAGUGGCUGACUUGAUCAAAUUGGCCUAUAUUUUACCAAAUACCCCAAGGUCAAAGCGCUGCACUCGAGAAUCCAAACCCUGCAUUCUGGUCCUGGCUUUUGUCAGCUUAUAGCAUGUUUGGAGUUUCAUUAUUUUGUCUCUAAAACAGAGGAACCCUGCCCUGCCACCUCCACAGAGCUGUGCAGUAUCUUCAGCCUCAAGAGAUGAAUGCGUCUAAGUGAAAGCGCUCUGGAGAUGACAGUUCCGUGGAAUUGUUCCUACUCCGUGCACGGCACCGCCCUGCAAAGGUGGAAGAAGUUACGACUUUUUUUCAAAGGGCUCACCUUCAAAUUAGGACAAAACAUCCCUUCUGCUCCCUAAAGUUUCUCCUUUUUUCAGUUGGGAAUUGGGCUAGUUGAUUCUCAACUUUUCUGAAAGUAUGAUUCUAUAAAAUAACAGGGAGCACUUUAUGCAAGCGUUCCUGGGAAUGACUCUGGAAAUUGUCUGGACUUCCGGACAGGGCAGGAGUAUCAGGAAGAACUGCUGGAACCUGGAGGAAAGGUUUUUGAGGAGAGAAGCCAGUGUUCCAACAAGCUGUGUAAAAGCUUGCAUGUGGGAAUUUUCAAAAGGUUAUGCCAGAGUCAGU
rnacentral:lncRNA from 1 species